GCGGGUUUUCGGGCGAUGGCGAGCGGGGAAAAUGUGGCGGUGGGGAGGCGGGCGGGGAAGACGGGGGCAUCGCUGGCUCAGGACCUCAGGCGCUGGGCGGCUGAAGAGAUGAAGCUUCCUCCGGGCAAAGUUCCCUCCGAGAGAGACGCGCGCAGAAUGUGCUCAGGUCAGUGUGCUGACAUCUGGAAAUAUAUCAUCCGCCACGUUCAUCAUCAGAGGACAGUCAAGAAGAUUCGUGGGAACUUACUGUGGUAUCAGCAGAUGGAAAAGGGUGAGGUCAAGCCCAGUGCCUCUGAAUCGGAUAAAGAACGUCGCAAACAUCUAAUCCAGGCCAUCUCUCGCUUGAAGGAAGAAGAUCAGCAAUUGGACCUUCAGAUAGAAUUGGCACAGCGUGAGUUUGUAGCCAGCGAGGUCACCCUGGAAACGACUCAGAUCUGGGAUGCCAAACGACGCAGUUUGCUCCUGAAGGCCUACUCCAGACGGGUCACAGCAGAAUGCCAACAGUUGCACAAGAAAGGUGCCCAAGUCAAGGGACGUUUGGAGCAGUUGGAAGAGAUGGAGAAGAAAGCCAAGACGGUCGUGGUUUUUGGUGGCAGACACCCAGAGCCUCGAUUCCCCAUCUUGGAGCCCGAAGUCUUGCGGGAUGUCCAGGAAAGCUGCCAGCUGCGUUUCCAAUUCCUGAAGACCCUCUUUGAAAACAGCAUCUCUGGGAGCUCUCCAGGGACAAAUGAGGAAGAGAUGAAUGUUACUUACCAACAUUGGCUGAGCACCGUGGAGAAAGCUGUCAGUACCCAUCCUCCUGUCCAUAUCCUUUCGGCUCUGGAGCACUUGGCCCGUCAGAACACAAUGAAGCUGCAGGAGGUGACGGAUAAGAUCAACAUCUCCCAAGAUGUGGCUGCUCUCAAGUUCCGCUAUGACAGCACACACCUGCAAGAUGUCUCGGAUUCUGCAGACAAGCUACCUUCUGUCCGGGUUCUUAUACAGGAGGGCUGGAGCAAAUGCGAGGUGCUCUGUGUACAGCAGAUUCCCCUACAUGCUGAAGAGAAAGGCCUGCUGUCACGUCUUGAAGCCCUAGUAAAAGAGAUGCACAGUCUCUUGUCUGAUGGAUCGGAGCGCUCCAUCCUGGCCAGAACGGUCUUUGAGCUGGAGCUCCGGGCGGUGAGGUUGCGAGGAUACAGGGAUGGGCUGCUGCAGGGUUGCCAGGGACUUGAAGAAGCCGUGAAGGCCCGGUAUGCAGAACUGCAGAACUUGCAGGCGAAACGCCAGCGCAUCUUGGACUUCCGCCUUUUGGUGAAUGAGAAGCAGCAACACAUUCGGGCCCUUAUCAAAGGCACUUCGUUUCUCAAAUCCCAACUUCGCAAGAACCAGGCUGAGAUCCAGGAUUUCAUACAGAAAAAACUGCUCCCUCUGGCGGAACAGGUGCAGCUGGAGACCCAACAGCUUCACGACAGGGUAGGCCGUGAAGUCCAGCAUUUCAAAAGCAUUGCCCUGCCUUGUCUGCUGACCCGUCAGAUAGCUGGGUCUGAACACAUCCCAGCCCACAAACUUUCCAUCCAUCGCUUAAGCCGGACAGCACCUUCUGAAAAUCGGGCCUUUCUCAAUGUAUGCAACGGAGUUAGCUUUCCCCUUUAUAAGGCUCCUGAACAGCUGCUUCUCCAUGUGGUGGAGCUGAAGAAGAGGCUUGCUUACCUGCGUGCCCAGCUGAGCUCCAAGCAAAGAGCUUUGGGAAGCCUGCAGCACCAGCUGGAAAGGGCCCCAGAGCCCGAUGUACCAUCCUUGGUGGGAGAGGUACAGUCCCAUGAUCAGAAACAAGCCUUUUUGCUGCUGCCCUGUAUCCAACGCACGAUGGAUCAGUGCCAGUGUCUCCUCAAGCGUCGACCUGAGAUCCAAGCUGUUAUCGAUACCUGGUGGGAGCAGCCGGGACAGCUUGUUCUUCCUCACGAGCUCCGCUACGGCUUCACUUUGCAACAGUGGCUGGAGCGUUGGACCAUGGCUGCCAAGAACCUGCAGCAACAGCAGAUAUGGCUUUGAUGAACUCCUGGGUAUAAGUCUGAGAAGCUGGUUGGUGUUCGUGGCUCGCAAGAUACAGCGCCUGGGAGACAGGGCAGUUAUGCCUGUGCUUCCAUCUGGCUGCUGAAUGAUGGCUUUUAAUUUCAUGCAAGGGGGUACGCAGUUUUCUGCACCUCACCUCACCUCACCUUCUUCCCUCUCCUCUCCGUUCUUCAAGGGAGGCUGGGGGAGGACGUAAUGUUGAAGCUAAGAGAAAAGUUACACCUAGCUUUUUCCUUGGUGAAGAUGUUGUGGUCCGCCAGCAGCCUGCGGAGCUGGCAGCAGAGUUGGACAGUGAGAAGGUUGGGGAGGAACAUGGA